rnacentral:RNase_P_RNA from 1 species
UGAGCCGUCCGGGUGGCCGCGGCCGGGAGACCGGCUGAGGAAGGUCGGGGCUCCACAGGGCAGAACGCUGGCGAGAGCCAGGCGGGGGCGACCUCGCGGACGUGCCACAGAGAGCAGACCGCCGAUGGCCCCGGCAACGGGGCACAGGUGAGGGUGAAACGGUGCGGUAAGAGCGCACCAGCGUCGCGGGCGACCGCGGCGGCUCGGUAAACCCCGUUCGGAGCAAGGUCAAGCAGCGGGAUGGGCGGCCCGCCCGAUGCCUCGGCAUCACCCGCAGGUGGACUGCACAGAUGGAUGGCCACCGAACCGGACCACCGCGAGGUGCCGGGGAACAGAACCCCGCCUACAGGGCGACUCACCAG